rnacentral:rRNA from 1 species
UACGUAGGGAGCAAGCGUUAUCCGGAUUUAUUGGGUGUAAAGGGCGCGUAGACGGUUUGGCAAGUUGGUUGUGAAAUCCCGAAGCUCAACUUCGGAACUGCAACCAAAACUGUUUAACUUGAGUGUGGGAGAGGAAAGCGGAAUUCCUAGUGGAGCGGUGAAAUGCGUAGAUAUUAGGAGGAACACCAGUGGCGAAGGCGGCUUUCUGGACCAUAACUGACGUUGAGGCGCGAAAGUGUGGGGAGCAAAC